rnacentral:lncRNA from 1 species
UGAAGGCAAGGAACCAGAAUCGAGGCAAGGAGCCCCUCAACCCGGGGUCCGGGUAAAAUACCUGCCCUCGGGAGUAUCGGGGUCAUGGUCCCCAGGUCUGGUUCAAACCCCAAAUGCCUCGGGGAGCAUUAUUAGACGAUCGAGCACGACCAACAAAAGGUCGUGAUAUCCGCGACCAGCCGGAUACCACGACGUGAAUCUCGGCACGUAUCGGCAGAAAACAGGUGAUUAGUUAAACAGAAUAUUUUUACCUUUUAUGAAAUUAUAUUUAGGGUAAAAUUCCCCUACUAUAUAAAAGGGAGUCUGAUUAUUCAUUAGACAUAUUGUAACACGCAUAUCAAGGCAAUAUACUCUUAUUUUCUCUCUUAUUAAAAGCACUCACUUUUGUUCAUCAGUGCUUUGUUAUUGUGAGUCCGGGAUCGAAGGCAGGCAUCUCAUUAAUGUUGUUAUUGAGUCCGGAAUCACCCCUCUUAAGCGGUUUGGCAAUUCAUUACGUCCUUUAUCUGUUUAAUCUAAUGCAGUCUAUCAUUUGUAUUGAAUUAAUCUGCAUAUUCUUAAAACCACAUAUAAAUUCAACUGUUAUCCGUUUUUUAGGAUAAACAGUUUGGCGCCCACCGUGGGGCUAAGGAUAAUAGUUGCAAUUUGAUACAAGUUUUCAUAACAUACUCUAUUUUACACUUGUUCUUUGAGCUUUUAAUUUUAGGACAAGAAAAAUAUCAAACUCCCAAUCUGCCCCUUUGAACAUUGAUGCCGAGUCUGGCCACCACGGAGAGAACAACAAUAUAGCGCCCAGCAACGAGGUUCACCCUGCUGACCCCAAUGGGCCCCCAGUCACAGACUCAAUCGACGCCAGCUCCCACAUGGCCAUCGACACUAACUUGACCACCAAUCUAGAGAUCAAUGUUCGCGGGGAAGCCAGGUCGAUAACCAGGGAUACACACGACAGUAAGCGCGAUGGGAUCAACUUGCGGGUGAUCUUCGAAAUGUUACAUGCUCAACAGGCAGUGAUAGCCCAGCUACAUGCUCUGAGGAACUAACAAAAAAGUAAAAACCUACAACUCCAGGGUUGAUCAAAUCCCAGGAGCGCUACCGAUUCUGAAGGUCCUGGAUUCCAAGAAAUUUGUUUAGAAGCCUUUCCCUCCGACCGCAGCCUCAAAAGUAAUCCCAAAGAAGUUCCACAUGCCCAAAAUUCUGAAGUACAACGGAACAACCGAUCCAAAUAAUCAUGUAACCUCUUACACGUGCGCCAUCAAGGAAAACGACUUGGAAGAUGAUGAAAUCGAAUUCGUUCUGCUGAAAAAGUUCUGAGAGACCCUAUCGAAAGGAGCCAUGAUAUGCUAUCAUAACUUACCCCUUAAUUUUAUUGGCUUAUUUGCUAUGCAAUGCCUCUGUAAAAGCGCACGCCAGGGCCAUCAAAGUCGAGACUAGGAAAUUGGACAUUUUCAAGGUAAAGCAAAGAGAUAACGAGAUGCUUAGGGAAUUCGUAUCGAGGUUUCAAAUGGAAUGGAUGGAUCUGCCGCCAGUCGCAGACGACUGGGCUGUUCAAGCCUUCACCCAAGGACUCAAUACUCGAAGCUCAUUGGCUUCACAGUAGCUGAAGCAAAAGCUGAUAGAAUACCCGACGAUAACUUGGGUCAACAUCCAUAACUGAUACCAAUCGAAAAUUAGGUUCGAAGAUGAUCAGCUCGGGGCCCCUUCCGAGCCCGUUUAUCCUAUCAGGGCUAGUGAUAAAUCCAAAAGAGACAUUGAUCAUGAACCAAGAUCGAAUAAAGACCGAUAUCAACCAUACAAUGGAGAUUGAAGGGGUAAUGGGUUUGGACGAAACUUGUGAGAAGUGAAAGAAGAAGCGACCAGGGUCAUAAUAACUGGGGACUCAUGAGAAAAAGCGGUUUUGAUAGACCCAUCAAGCCUAAGGAAGCGCCAAGGUUAUCGGAGUACAAAUUCAACGUCGAUGUUGCUGCCAUUGUAUCAGCUAUUGGACGCAUCAAAGACACCAAGUGGCCUCAACCUUUACAAUCCGACCCCGUUAAAAGCGACCCCAACCUAAUGUGUAAGUACCAUAGCACUCACGACCACAUAACUGAAGACUGCCGACAACUGAGAGAGGAAGUAGCCCGAUUAUUCAACAACAUACACCUCCGAGAGUUUUUGAGUGGUCGGGCCAAAAAUCAUUUCAGGAAUAGGGACUCCAACAAGCAGAUACACGUUAUUAACAUGAUCAUUGGUGGGGUUAACAUCCCCAGAGGUGGAUUUUAAAGCGAACCAAAGUGUCCAUCACAAGGGAAAAACAGACUCGAGAUUAUGUGCUAGAAGGAACCGUAUCUUUCAACGACGAUGGUGCUGAAGGCAUCGUGCAGCCACAUAAUGAUGCACUGGUAAUAUCUAUACUCAUAAAUAAAUCUCGAGUUAAGCAUGUGUUAAUUGAUCCAGGUAGUUUGGUCAAUAUCAUCAGCUUGAGGGUCGUAGAACAACUUGGUCUACAAGACAAAAUUGCGCUUGCAGUCCGAGUUCUAAAUGGAUUUAACAUGGCAUGUGAGACUACUAAAGGGGAGAUAACCCUACCGAUGAACACCGCCGGAACCGUUUAGAAAACAAAGUUCUAUUUGAUCGAAGGAGAUAUGAGAUACAAUGCUCUGUUAGGGAGACCAUUUAUUCAAAACAUGAGGGCAGUACCCUCGACACUAACCAGGCGUUGAAAUUCCCCACACUAGGAGGAAUUAAAACAGUCUACGGAGAGCAACCGGCCGUAAAAGAGAUAUUCGUGGUCGACGAGGUGGUCCCGAUAUCCACACCCUCGACAUCAAAUAAUCUGAAUUCGAUCACCAAGGAAGAAACCAAAUAGCAAUCACCGACACCGACCCCGACCAAACCAGAAAAGUAGGGGACGCGCGAGGAUGAUGACUACAGAGUUCCCGGGUCUUUCAUAGCCCCUGACGAUUCCAAUGCCACCAAGUCAAUGGUCGAGGAGCUGGAGCAAGUCAUAUUGAUUAAGCAUCUGCCCGUUUACAAGGUAUACCUGAGCACGGGGUUAAGUCCCGAGCUCAGGAAAAAACUCAUUGAAUUCCUUAUAGAUAACGUAGAUUGUUUCACUUGGUCCCAUCUUGACAUGACAGGGAUCCUGCCGGAAUUAACUACUCACAUGCUAAGCUUGGAUCCGAAGUUUUACCCAGUUAAACAAAAGAGGAGGCCUCGAUCCGAAGCCAAGCAUGCAUUCAUCAAAGAUGAGGUAUCCAAACUUCUUAAAAUAGGUUCCAUUCGGGAAGUUAAGUACCCGGAUUGGUUAACAAACGUAGUAGUAUUCCCUAAAAAGGGAAAUAAACUAAGAAUUUGUGUAGACAGUAAAGACCUGAAUAAAGCUCAAGGACUCUUUUCCUCUGCCCUACAUCGAUAGCAUGAUCGAUGCGACAACCGACCACGAGAUCCUCAGCUUUCUCGAUGCCUAUUCGGGGUACAACCAAAUCUGAAUGGACCCGGGCUGUCAGGAAAAAACUUCCUUCAUCACUAAAUACGACACCUAUUGUUAUAAUGUAAUGCCAUUCGGAUUAAAGAACGCAUGUGCCACUUACCAACGCCUAGUAAAAUCGGAUUUUCGAAGAACAAAUAGGAAAAUCAAUGGAGGUUUACAUUGACGGCAUGUUAGUAAAGACCCUACGAGCAUAACUUCAAGGUCCUCUUAUAAGAACCAUAGGGUCUUCUCAUUAUUAAAAAAGAAGAAUAACUUCUUGUGGACCUCCAAGUGCCAAUAAGCUUUGGAAAAACUCAAGCGGUACCUUUCGAGCCCGCCUUUGCUCCAUACUCCGAUGGCAGAAGAGCAACUGUACCUGUACUUAGCGGUAUCAGAGAUAGUGGUAAGUGGAGUCCUAGUCCCAGAAGAGGAAAGUACGUAAUUUCCUAUCUAUUAUGUUAGCAGGACUCUAGGUGAGGCCGAAACUAAGUAUCCUCACCUGGAAAAAUUGGCGCUCGCUUUGCUAAGCGCCUCCCGGAAGUUAAAACCAUAUUUCAAUACCAUCCUAUAUGUGUCAUAACUACUUACCCAUUAAUAAACAUAAUUCAUAAACCCGAGCUCUCGAGACAAUUGGCCAAAUAGGCCGUGGAAAUUAACGAGUACGAUAUCGAAUAUCGACCCCGAACCGCCAUCAAAUCCCAAAUUUUGGUAGACUUCAUGCGGGCCCUGAUGCCCGAAGUCAAAAGGAAAUUGUUGUUGAACUCGGGGACUUCCUCUAGGAUCUAGACCCUCUUUACGGAUGGUGCCUCGAAUGCAAAAGGGUCUGGACUAAGAAUCGUGUUAAAGCCACCCACGGGUAAUGUAGUUAGACUGUGAUAACCCAAAAGGUCAUCACUUGUGUUGCAAUGAAAUUCUAUGUUCUGAGACCUUAAAAACCUCCCUUAAUACCACCUCAAUUUGCGUGCGCAGUCCGGGCGCGAAGCCGGAAAGCUUAAAUGUGCAAAUCUAUGAAAAAUGAUAAGUUUUGACUAUAAAAUGAAUAAAUUUUACUUCGGUCAACGUUUUGGGUAAACGGAUUCAGACCCGUGAUUUGACGGUCUCGGAGGGUCCGUAGGAAAAUAUGGGACUUGGGCAUAUGCCCGGAAUCAGAUUCUGAGGUCCCAAGCCCGAGAAAUAAAUUUUUUUAAAGAAAAUUAUUUUCUAAAAUUGUUUAAAGAAAUUUGAAAUGAAAUUUGCUUAGAACAUGAUGGUAUGUGGCCCGUAUUUUAGUUCCGGCGCCUGGUACAGGUCUUAUAUAUGAUUUAAGAUAUUUCUGUGGAAUUUGGUGAAAAACGGAUGUCAUUUGACGUGUUUAGGACUUAAAUUGCAAAAUUGAUGUUUAAAUAAAUUUUAAGAAAUUUCAUUGAUCUCGAGGUUUAAUUUGAUGUUCAUGAUGUUAUUUUGGUGAUUUGAUUACACGAAUAAGUCCGUAGGAUGUUUUUGAGGUUUUGUGUGUACUUGGUUUGGAGUUCCGAGGGCUCGGGUGAGUUUUGGGUAGGUUCCGGGAUGUUUUAGGCUUAAAACCAGAAGUUGUAGGCCUCUGAACCCGCCAAUGCAGCCCGCGGUCGGCCUUGUGCGGUGCGCGGUGUAGGGCUGUGUGACCACAAUCGACUUUGUGUGGUCCGUACAGGGGCGCUGCUGUGCGACCGCAGUCGACUUUGUGCUGUCCGCACAGGGCACUGGACCGCAAUACCCUCAGGAAAGCCUGUGCGGCCGCAGUCCAUUUUGUGCGGACCGCACAGAGGGUCUGAGAGGGGUAUAAAUAGACGGGAUUUUCAGUCAUUGUGCAUUUUUCAAAUCCCAAAAAACAUAAGAGACGAUUUUUCAAACAACUUUUCUUCUCAAAAUCAAUUGUAAGUCAUUUUUAACUAGUUUUCUUCAAUCAUUAACAUCUUUUAACAUGAUUUAAACUUCAAAUCAAUGAUUUUCAUGGGGUAAAUUGAGUGUUUUAGGUAGAACCUAGGUUUUUCGAAAAUUAGGGAUUUGGACCUCGAUUUGAGGUCCGAUUUCAAAACAAAUUACAUAUUUGAGCUCGUAGGGGAAUGGGUAAUUGGGUUUUGGUUUGAACCUCGGGUUUUGACCAUGUGGGCCCGGGGGCGAUUUUGACUUUUUGGGUAAAACUUUGGAAAACUCAUUUUCAUGCAUUCAAAUUGAUUCAUUUAGCGUUUAUUGAUGUAAUUAAGUAACUUAUGGCUAGAUACGAGCGAAUUGGUGGAAGAAUCAAGGAAUAAAGCUAUAAUUGAAACUUGAGUUGUGUUCGAGGCAUCGAGGUAAGUGUUUGGUCUAACCUUAGCUUGAGGGAUUAGGACUUGUGNNNNNNNNNNNNNNNNNNNNUUGUGUCUUAUUUGCUACAUGUUAAUUGUGGAGUACGACGUAUAGGCAUGGUGACAAGUAUCUAUACGUUGGUGUCAAACAUGCCCGUGAGUCUUGUAUUAUAGUUGUUAUGACUCUGUUAUGAUUUAUUGCGCUUCAUAUGUUAUUAUCACCAUUGUUACAUUGCCGGGAUGUUUGUUUGAUAUUAAUGAUCACUUGCCAGGAUGUUUGUUUUGAUAGUAUUGUUUUUUUACCGGGAUGUUGUUGAAAUAUCAUUGUUCCCUUGCCGGAAAGUUGUUAUAUUGCUUUUGUUCCCUUGCCGGGAUUCCUUGUGAUUAUCAUUGGCUUUUAAUUGGGAGCAGGUGGUAAGCCUACUACAAGAUAUGAUGAAAUGGGAGCGGGUGGUACGCCUACCACAAGAUAUGAUGAAAUGGGAACGGGUGGUACGCCUACCAUAAGAUAUGAUGAAAUGGGAGCGGGUGGUACGCCUACCACAAGAUAUAAUGAAAUGGGAGCGGGUGGUACGCCUACCACGAGAUACAAUGAAAUGGGAGCGGGUGGCAUGCCUGCCACGAGAAACAGGAAUCGGAAUCGGGUUGCACGCUUGGAACAAGAUGUGAAAAGAAAGUGAAAUCUGUCUUUGUUUUUCCUCAUUCUUGUUAGUGGUUGAUUUUGAUUCCUUUAUAAUUCUCUUGAUAUUCUGUUUUACCUAUUAUUCCCCGAAGCAUGUUUCCCCCUCCUAUCUUUAUUUGUUUAUUUUUGUAUUUAUUUUCCGCUGUAUAUAUAUAUAUAAUUACACAGGUUUAUAUGGAGUCUGGUCCUAGCCUUGUCACUACCUCGCUGGGGUUAGGCCCAGCACUUACCAGCACAUGGGGCCGGUUGUGCUGAUGCUAUACUCUGUACUUAUAUGCAGAUACCGGAGUAGCACUGGGUCAGCAGCAGUAUCUUGGGAGCCAGCCUUCAGUCCACCGAGAUUCCGAGGUAGUCCUGCAGGCGUUCGCAGGCCCGGCGUCUCUUCUAUUAGUUAUUUUGUUCUGUUAUCAUUGUAUCUGAGACAGACAGUGUUCCUUCUUUCAAACGUUUGUAUGUAGUAAUCAUAGAUAGUCCGUGAAAGGUUUGACACCAGUUUCUAGGUAGUGGCAUAUGUUGAUUUCCGAAUUAUUUUGGUUUAUUUUGUUUAAGUCUUCCGCUUAAUCUCAUAUUCCGC